rnacentral:lncRNA from 1 species
CAGCCCCAGGGACUUACUCAGCAAGCUGGAGUUGGGGAAGCGCCAGGCCUCGCUGUAGGAGGGGGCUGAGGGGAGGUGUGAGGGUUAAGGAUGGGAGAGGAGGGAGAGCCCCAGAGGGCACACACCCUCAGGAAGCUGUGUCCUGGGACUUGGAGUAGUUUGUUGUUCCAUCCUGAGUCUGCCGCUUUAAGCAAACUCAACGUAUAAAUUUACACAAAGUAAAUCAGAUCACCUCCUUCUGUUAAUGGAUUCUUGAGUUUUCCAAAGGAAUUAUUUACCGAAGAAAUUACUUAAGAAUUCCCUUACAUAACAAAAACAAAGUCAAACUGAUCACCACAGCUACUACCGGUGCUUGGUAAAGAGCUUAAAGUUUGUAAAGCACUUUCCCAUACAUUAUGAUCUUUUAUUCUCAA